GCCAGGCACGGUGGCUCAUGCCUGUAAUCCCAGAACUUUGGGAGGCUGAGGCGGGCGGAUCACCUGAGGUCAGGAGUUCAAGACCAGCCUGGCCAACAUGGUGAAACCCCGCCUCUA
rnacentral:SRP_RNA from 1 species